AGCGUACACGGUGGAUGCCCUGGCAGUCAGAGGCGAUGAAGGACGUGCUAAUCUGCGAUAAGCGUCGGUAAGGUGAUAUGAACCGUUAUAACCGGCGAUUUCCGAAUGGGGAAACCCAGUGUGUUUCGACACACUAUCAUUAACUGAAUCCAUAGGUUAAUGAGGCGAACCGGGGGAACUGAAACAUCUAAGUACCCCGAGGAAAAGAAAUCAACCGAGAUUCCCCCAGUAGCGGCGAGCGAACGGGGAGCAGCCCAGAGCCUGAAUCAGUGUGUGUGUUAGUGGAAGCGUCUGGAAAGGCGCGCGAUACAGGGUGACAGCCCCGUACACAAAAAUGCACAUGCUGUGAGCUCGAUGAGUAGGGCGGGACACGUGGUAUCCUGUCUGAAUAUGGGGGGACCAUCCUCCAAGGCUAAAUACUCCUGACUGACCGAUAGUGAACCAGUACCGUGAGGGAAAGGCGAAAAGAACCCCGGCGAGGGGAGUGAAAAAGAACCUGAAACCGUGUACGUACAAGCAGUGGGAGCACGCUUAGGCGUGUGACUGCGUACCUUUUGUAUAAUGGGUCAGCGACUUAUAUUCUGUAGCAAGGUUAACCGAAUAGGGGAGCCGAAGGGAAACCGAGUCUUAACUGGGCGUUAAGUUGCAGGGUAUAGACCCGAAACCCGGUGAUCUAGCCAUGGGCAGGUUGAAGGUUGGGUAACACUAACUGGAGGACCGAACCGACUAAUGUUGAAAAAUUAGCGGAUGACUUGUGGCUGGGGGUGAAAGGCCAAUCAAACCGGGAGAUAGCUGGUUCUCCCCGAAAGCUAUUUAGGUAGCGCCUCGUGAACUCAUCUCCGGGGGUAGAGCACUGUUUCGGCAAGGGGGUCAUCCCGACUUACCAACCCGAUGCAAACUGCGAAUACCGGAGAAUGUUAUCACGGGAGACACACGGCGGGUGCUAACGUCCGUCGUGAAGAGGGAAACAACCCAGACCGCCAGCUAAGGUCCCAAAGUCAUGGUUAAGUGGGAAACGAUGUGGGAAGGCCCAGACAGCCAGGAUGUUGGCUUAGAAGCAGCCAUCAUUUAAAGAAAGCGUAAUAGCUCACUGGUCGAGUCGGCCUGCGCGGAAGAUGUAACGGGGCUAAACCAUGCACCGAAGCUGCGGCAGCGACGCUUAUGCGUUGUUGGGUAGGGGAGCGUUCUGUAAGCCUGUGAAGGUGUGCUGUGAGGCAUGCUGGAGGUAUCAGAAGUGCGAAUGCUGACAUAAGUAACGAUAAAGCGGGUGAAAAGCCCGCUCGCCGGAAGACCAAGGGUUCCUGUCCAACGUUAAUCGGGGCAGGGUGAGUCGACCCCUAAGGCGAGGCCGAAAGGCGUAGUCGAUGGGAAACAGGUUAAUAUUCCUGUACUUGGUGUUACUGCGAAGGGGGGACGGAGAAGGCUAUGUUGGCCGGGCGACGGUUGUCCCGGUUUAAGCGUGUAGGCUGGUUUUCCAGGCAAAUCCGGAAAAUCAAGGCUGAGGCGUGAUGACGAGGCACUACGGUGCUGAAGCAACAAAUGCCCUGCUUCCAGGAAAAGCCUCUAAGCAUCAGGUAACAUCAAAUCGUACCCCAAACCGACACAGGUGGUCAGGUAGAGAAUACCAAGGCGCUUGAGAGAACUCGGGUGAAGGAACUAGGCAAAAUGGUGCCGUAACUUCGGGAGAAGGCACGCUGAUAUGUAGGUGAAGUCCCUUGCGGAUGGAGCUGAAAUCAGUCGAAGAUACCAGCUGGCUGCAACUGUUUAUUAAAAACACAGCACUGUGCAAACACGAAAGUGGACGUAUACGGUGUGACGCCUGCCCGGUGCCGGAAGGUUAAUUGAUGGGGUCAGCGCAAGCGAAGCUCUUGAUCGAAGCCCCGGUAAACGGCGGCCGUAACUAUAACGGUCCUAAGGUAGCGAAAUUCCUUGUCGGGUAAGUUCCGACCUGCACGAAUGGCGUAAUGAUGGCCAGGCUGUCUCCACCCGAGACUCAGUGAAAUUGAACUCGCUGUGAAGAUGCAGUGUACCCGCGGCAAGACGGAAAGACCCCGUGAACCUUUACUAUAGCUUGACACUGAACAUUGAGCCUUGAUGUGUAGGAUAGGUGGGAGGCUUUGAAGUGUGGACGCCAGUCUGCAUGGAGCCGACCUUGAAAUACCACCCUUUAAUGUUUGAUGUUCUAACGUUGACCCGUAAUCCGGGUUGCGGACAGUGUCUGGUGGGUAGUUUGACUGGGGCGGUCUCCUCCUAAAGAGUAACGGAGGAGCACGAAGGUUGGCUAAUCCUGGUCGGACAUCAGGAGGUUAGUGCAAUGGCAUAAGCCAGCUUGACUGCGAGCGUGACGGCGCGAGCAGGUGCGAAAGCAGGUCAUAGUGAUCCGGUGGUUCUGAAUGGAAGGGCCAUCGCUCAACGGAUAAAAGGUACUCCGGGGAUAACAGGCUGAUACCGCCCAAGAGUUCAUAUCGACGGCGGUGUUUGGCACCUCGAUGUCGGCUCAUCACAUCCUGGGGCUGAAGUAGGUCCCAAGG
rnacentral:rRNA from 1 species